GACGAUUAUACUUCUGACUACAUUCAGUCUCGAUUCACUCGCUCAAGAAUACACCACGAAAUGAUGUUUAAGAAACUUAUCUGUUUCUGCCUGGUGGUAGCGAUUGUUUGCAGCGAUACAACGGAAGAAGACUACAGCUCCAUAGAAACACUUCCCACAACAUCUAGCAGCGUGAUCCCAGCUUUAGAAGAACUAAAGAAACAUGGAGCAAACCCAAAGAAUAAAGGAG